GCAGUCGUACGAGAGUUUUUAACUCAAGUGGCGGACGGGUGAGUAACACGUAAUAAUUUACCUUUAGGAGGGGGACAACAACUGGAAACGGUUGCUAAUACCCCAUAUGCUUUCGAGUGAAAUGGAUUUUUCCGCCUAGAGAGAAGCUUGCGGCUGAUUAGCUUGUUGGUAAGGUAAUGGCUUACCAAGGCGACGAUCAGUAUCUGGUUUGAGAGGAUGAUCAGACACACUGGAACUGAGACACGGUCCAGACUCCUACGGGAGGCAGCAGUGGGGAAUUUUCCGCAAUGGGCGAAAGCCUGACGGAGCAAUACCGCGUGAGGGAUGACGGCCUAUGGGUUGUAAACCUCUUUUUUCAGGGAGGAAUCAAUGACGUGUACCUGAAGAAUAAGCAUCGGCUAACUCCGUGCCAGCAGCCGCGGUAAGACGGAGGAUGCAAGUGUUAUCCGGAAUCACUGGGCGUAAAGCGUCUGUAGGUGGUCAAAUAAGUCAACUGUUAAAUCUUGAGGCUCAACCUCAAAAUCGCAGUCGAAACUAUUAGACUAGAGUAUAGUAGGGGUAAAGGGAAUUUCCAGUGGAGCGGUGAAAUGCGUAGAGAUUGGAAAGAACACCGAUGGCGAAGGCACUUUACUGGGCUAUUACUAACACUCAA
rnacentral:rRNA from 1 species